AAUAAUACAUGCUAAUCAUAUAAGGUUAUUGGAUUAGGAGACCAAUAGCUCUUGGGUGGUAAGAAUCAUUACCAGCAUAUUUAGUGAACCUGAGGUAUUUUGAGUAUAAACAAGUGUAAUAAGUAGAGGAAGGGACACUACUAGUGUACAAAAUAAGAAAUAGGAGCUGGCAUUGAGGCUUUCUGGUCGGUUACCUCAGCAGCUGAUGAUAAUUAGGGGAGGAAUUAGUUUAGCUUCAAAGAGGAUAUAAAAUAUAAUUAGUUCUGUGGCUGUGGAUGCUAUAAUUUUAAAAAUCUGCAUGGAAAUCAAUAUAGAAAUAUAGAGUUUUUUUUCGUGGGGGUAAUUCAAUGGACAGGUGAUAUUGGCUUGCUAGGAUUAUAAGAGGUAGUAGUCAGGUUGUUAAGAUUAGAAGGGGCGAGGUCACCGGGUCAGAAGAGAAGAUUAAUGAGAAGUCUGAUGAGCUAUUGUUGAAUUGCAUAAAAAAUAGUAGGGU
rnacentral:lncRNA from 1 species